rnacentral:lncRNA from 1 species
AAACUCUCAUAGCUGAAUCACUUAAGUAUAAUUUAAUAGAAUUUCAGUGCAGUUAAUUCUUAAUGGGAAAAUUUGAAAUCGAAAUUGCAGAUUUAAAAGGUACUGUACAACCAUUGUAUCUGUAAAUAACUUAGCACCUUUUUGUCACUUAGAAUAGUAUGUAAUACAACCUGAGUGAGCGCUUUGGGAAGUUUUAUCAAGUUCUAGUGGUUGCUUCUUAGUAUUGAACCGAAUUUUCAAUUCUGUCCUAGACAUUUUGCACUAUAGUAGCCAAAUCCCAUUCUCAUGUCUUUUUGUUAAUGUGCUCUGUGCUGCUGGAGAGUGCUCCUUAGUUUCUUUACCAGCUGCUACUGAAGGUUAUUUUAUAUCCCUGUAGCUAUUUCCAAGGCUACAGAAAACAAAAGCUAUAUUUGUAUGCAACACUAACCCUUUGACUGCUAAUGUAUGUUUCUGCUUGCUGUGCCUUGUUAUGGCUGCUUUUUUGUGCUAAUAAAGUAUGUUUGGUGUUCUCCUUGUAUAUCUGCUGUUUCAUACAUUUGCAACAGUUUCUCUUGUACAUGGAAUGGUUUGGGGUUUUUAAAUAAGCAUUAUCUGGCAACCUGCUAUAGUUAAUGCAGAUUUACCUACAGUCUAAUAUUGACUUAUCAGAAUAAGCUAACUCUAAAUUUAAUGCUUUACAUCUUUCUAAUCAUAAUCACAUAUACUGUGGAACAGUAUCUAUAGUUACUGGAAAUUACUGUACAGUUUAGGUUACAACAGAAAAUUUACAGAGAAAUGAUAAACCUAUCAAUUUCUCUGCUUGUAAGUGAAAGAUUGAAACUCAAUGACUUAGUAUAGUAAAUGAAUAUUUAUAGCAUCCAGCUGCAUCAGAAACAGGUUAAAUGAAGUCUUGUAGAGUAAUAAUACAUCAGCACCAUUUAUUGGUUUGGGGACCAUUUUGAUUGAUAAUAAAUGCCCAAAAUGUAGAACUUUAACCAAAGACUUGUCUAUUUUUAAUGUAAAAUGGGAAUUGAAGGGACUUUUAAUUUGUUAUUUCUAAUAAGUCUCUGAAGAACAUAUACCAAAGUGUUUGAGAACUUCAUCCAAACCUACUUUAAAGCUUAUGUGCAAUUAAGUUGUUAUGACAUAAUUAUAUUGCAUAAUUGUUAGGUCCGUUUUCUUGAGCUUAUAAUGUACCUGGAAAAUAAACCUCUGAGGAAAAAAAAAAGUCCAUAUUGAUUUUUGGAGAAGGACUAUAUAUGCAAGUAAGAUGGUGUUGUGAAGAGGUAACUUGAAACUCCAAGAAAGCACUUGAUGUUUUUAUAUGCUUGUAGCAAAUUGAUGUUCUAAUUGUAGUUUUAUAGAAAGUAUUAAUGCUUUUAUGUAUUUUAGAACUUUCAUAAUGUUAAAUGGACAUUGUUUUAAAUGUGUACCUAUUUGAGUUUAUGUAAGCAUGUAUACACUGUGCAAAAAGUCACUUAUGUUUCAGUUUGUAUAAUAUUAAUAUGCAACUUUUGGGUUAAACUUUUUUCUUAAAAUAUUAGUGGCUUACAUUUUAAAAAAGAAAAAUCACCAGCAUGAAAAUGCACCUAAGUCUAUAUUCACUGUGUCUUUUUUCUGAAUCCCAUUGUAGCCUGUCAACUAAAUUUGUGUUUUUAUGGUCUUUUUGAAGUGCAAUUUAUUAUAAACCAGAAAAUUCUUAAGAAGUUGGGGCACAUCUUCAUAGUGAAAUAUGAAGAAAGGGUAGAAGAGUUGCUUUGAUAUCCUCAUUCUUUGAUUAUUUCCCUUCCCCUACACACAUACACAUGCACACACACACAUGCCUCUCCCUUAACCCUCCCUUUCUCCCUCCAUAUCUCCAUAUAUAGGUAUACAUAUGUAUGUGUACAUUUAUGUAUGUAUGUAUGUAUAUAUACAUAUACAUUUAUGGUAUUAUUAUUUUGGACAACAAUAUUGUCAUCUGAUACAAAAUCAUCUAGUAGGCCUUAUUCUAUAGAUACUGUCUGAGAAAUGUUCUUUUUGUGUGUGUGUUGCGGGCGGGGGAUUUUGGAGGUUGAACCCCAGGGUCUUGCACAUGCUAGGAAGUCAUUCUACCACUGAGUGACAGUUCCAACCCUGAGAAAUAUUCUUGUAUCAUUCAAAUUUUAUUAUCUCCUCCUAAAGUUUAGCCUUGCCACUGUAGUAUUAUUUGUAAUAUAGUCAUCUUACAGAGAGAAACAAAUUCAUCAGGAUUUUCUUUUCUGGCUAAACAGUUUAAAAAUUUUAAAAGAAAUAGCUUGUUUUAAGUACAGAUAUUAAGAGUCAUAAUUAUAUUUCUUAGAUUAAAGUUGAUCCCAAAUAGUUCUUCACAAACCAAUUUAUAUUCUUAAGGUCUUUUAGAAAGUUUUUAUAAGAUUGUAAUGGCUCAAACCAUAAAAACUGAUACUUGAAUUCCAGGCUUCCUUUUGACAAAAUCCAAAGUUUAUGAACUUUUUUAGUUGACAUUUUGAUCCUGGUUGCUAUUCAUUUUCAUCCCAAAGCUUCUUUUGCUCCCUGGCACUAAACAUUAACCUGAACAUUUUAUUGAGACUGGCUUUAAACUUUAUUUUUAUAGCAAAUAACAAAAAUUGCUUUUUGGUAACAGUAAAGAGCCCAUGAGUAAGUCAGAAUCCUAAGUAAAAGAGCCAAAUCCAUCUCUUGAGAGUAUGUUAGCAUAAGGGCGAAUCACACCCGCUUGUUCACUUACUUACCAACACAUGCUGUUGUACUUUGAUGGAAUUCAAUAAAAAUGCACACAGGACUGACUUAAAAGUGGGAAAAGUUUCAAAAGGGAUGAUACUACUCGGUAUAUGUUCAUUACAAAACUGAGUAUGUAAGAUUCAAGUGGUUUCAUGUUUUUGUUUUUGCGAUAGCUGAUAAAGAAUAUAGACUUUUAAAAAC